rnacentral:rRNA from 1 species
AAUACGUUCCCGAGCCUUGUACACACCGCCCGUCACGUCACGAAAGUCGGUAACACCCGAAGCCCGUGGCCCAACCCGUAAGGGGGGAAGCGGUCGAAGGUGGGACUGGCGAUUGGGACG